GUUGUUGUAGUAUAGUGGUGAGUAUCCCCGCUUGUCACGCGGGAGACCUGGCUUCAAUCCCCGGCAACGGCG
rfam:Ipomoea nil DNA, scaffold: scaffold2701, cultivar: Tokyo-kokei standard.